ACGGAGGGUGCAAGCGUUAUCCGGAAUCACUGGGUUUAAAGGGUGCGUAGGCGGCAUUGUAAGUCCGAGGUGAAAUCUCGCAGCUCAACUGUGAAAUUGCCUUGGAUACUGUGAUGCUUGAAUCACGUUGAGGUCAGCGGAAUGUGACAUGUAGCGGUGAAAUGCAUAGAUAUGUCAUAGAACACCAAUUGCGUAGGCAGCUGACUAGGCGUGUAUUGACGCUCAGGCACGAAAGCGUGGGGAGCGAACAGG
rnacentral:rRNA from 1 species